rnacentral:rRNA from 1 species
CACGCCGUAAACGAUGAGUGCUAGGUGUCGGGGGUCAAACCUCGGUGCCGCAGCUAACGCAUUAAGCACUCCGCCUGGGGAGUACGUUCGCAAGAAUGAAACUCAAAGGAAUUGACGGGGACCCGCACAAGCAGCGGAGCAUGUGGUUUAAUUCGAAGCAACGCGAAGAACCUUACCAGGGCUUGACAUCCCUCGGACCGACUUAGAGAUAAGUCCUUCCCUUCGGGGACUGAGGUGACAGGUGG